CCUACGGGAGGCAGCAGUGAGGAAUAUUGGUCAAUGGGCGAGAGCCUGAACCAGCCAAGUAGCGUGAAGGAUGACUGCCCUACGGGUUGUAAACUUCUUUUAUAUAGGAAUAAAGUGUGCCACGUGUGCCUUUUUGUAUGUACCUUAUGAAUAAGGAUCGGCUAACUCCGUGCCAGCAGCCGCGGUAAUACGGAAGGUCCGAGCGUUAUCAGGAUUUAUUUGGUUUAAAGGGAGCGUAGAUGGUUUGUUAAGUCAGUUGUGAAAGUUUGCGGGUCAACCGUAAAAUUGCAAUUGAAACUGGCAGUCUUGAGUACAGUAGAGGUAGGCGGAAUGCGUGGUGUAGCGGUGAAAUGCUUAGAUAUCACGAAGAACUCCGAUUGCGAAGGCAGCCUACUAGACUGCCACUGACAUUGAUGCUCGAAAGUGUGGGUAUCAAACAGGAUUAGAUACCCCAGUAGUC
rnacentral:rRNA from 1 species